UUCCCAAUUCAAUCCGGCAAUCCACAUCCAACUCUCUCAAUUUAGAGAUCCAAACAGAGUAAAAUCACAAAAAACAGAGAGAAAAUUUGAAAUCAGGAAAGAUGACAUCAAGAUGCGCAAUUCUCUGCGAAAUCAUACUCGCAAUUUUCCUCCCUCCUCUCGGGGUUUGUCUCCGACAUGGCUGCUGCACUGUGGAGUUUUUCAUAUGCUUGCUGUUGACCAUUUUAGGCUACAUUCCUGGGAUCAUUUAUGCUCUUUAUGCAAUCGUUUUCAUUGAUCACGAUCGGUUCCGUGACGAUUACUAUCAACUUGCUUAGUACUGAAUUGACAACUGUUCUCGAUUUCCUCAUACUUCACCAUUGUUAUUUGUGGCGGAUGUGUAAUUUUUACUAUGUGAUUGAAUUAUUAUGGUGUAAUUUAAUUUCAAAACUGAGGUUUAUACGUCGUGUUAUCUUUAUCUGUUCUGGUUGACUCUACAAUUAUGAUUGUUUUUAGAUUUGGAUUUUAUGGUAAUUGUCUGUUCGAGUUUUGCCACUUUUGUUUAAGAAAUUUCAGAUGAUUUCUGUUCUGGAGAAUAUAAAAUUGUAUCAUUGAUCUUGAGCCCUAGAGUUAUGUGUUCCUUGUUUAUAGCUCUAACUAGCAAUUGACUCUGACUUCAAUACAUUAGCUGAAGCAAUUAUUUUGUUUCAAAGAAAAGAUGUAGACUAUUUUUAAGUGAAAAGGCUCUCUCUCUACUAGGUUAACUGAUCAAAGGAAGAGAAUUGAUGACCUAUUAAUUUAGACCAAGUGCAUGUAUUGUAAGGAAUUGUAAGCAAUGCAAUGCAGGGAAAACUAAGUGCAUAUGAAAAUGUGUGCACGUGAAUAGCUAUGUUGAUCACAUCUUUUGUUACUUUCAUUAGUCGUGAUUGUUUUGAUCUUAGAAUUUUAUGUUCAAUUGGAGCCAAAUUUCAGUCCUGUCUCUUUUGGUUUUGUGAGUCGGGUGGUUGACAAGCAAACUAAAUGAAGAGUGUAUAGGUCUUUUUAGCUAUUACGGCAGCUGUAGCAUCUACAGUGCGUACAGAUAGCUCUCUGAAGACUUGCUACUAUGCAAUGUGUUCAUGCUUUACAAUACAUUCCGCUGAGGUUAUAAAUGAAGUUCUUAAAUCAUGUUUCCUGAUCUUCUUGUGUUUUUCCUCCUCUCUACAUUUGUA